AGUUCUGUGGCUUAGUUGGUUAAAGCGUAAGACUAGUGAUACGGAAUCGUGGGUUCGAAUCCCACCAAAACAA
rnacentral:tRNA from 1 species